UACGAAGGGGGCGAGCGUUGUUCGGAAUUACUGGGCGUAAAGGGCGCGUAGGCGGCGCGGUAAGUCGGGUGUGAAAUCUCGGAGCUUAACUCCGAAACUGCAUUCGAUACUGCCGUGCUUGAGGACUGGAGAGGAGACUGGAAUUUACGGUGUAGCGGUGAAAUGCGUAGAUAUCGUAAGGAAGACCAGUGGCGAAGGCGGGUCUCUGGACAGUUCCUGACGCUGAGGCACGAAGGUCAGGGGAGCAAACGGG
rnacentral:rRNA from 1 species